rnacentral:rRNA from 1 species
AUUGAACGCUGGCGGCAGGCCUAACACAUGCAAGUCGAGCGGCAGCGGAAAGUAGCUUGCUACUUUGCCGGCGAGCGGCGGACGGGUGAGUAAUGUCUGGGAAACUGCCUGAUGGAGGGGGAUAACUACUGGAAACGGUAGCUAAUACCGCAUAACGUCGCAAGACCAAAGAGGGGGACCUUCGGGCCUCUUGCCAUCAGAUGUGCCCAGAUGGGAUUAGCUAGUAGGUGGGUAACGGCUCACCUAGGCGACGAUCCCUAGCUGGUCUGAGAGGAUGACCAGACACACUGGGACUGAGACACGGUCCAGACUCCUACGGGAGGCAGCAGUGGGGAAUAUUGCACAAUGGGCGCAAGCCUGAUGCAGCCAUGCCGCGUGUAUGAAGAAGGCCUUCGGGUUGUAAAGUACUUUCAGCGGGGAGGAAGGUGUUGUGGUUAAUAACCACAGCAAUUGACGUUACCCGCAGAAGAAGCACCGGCUAACUCCGUGCCAGCAGCCGCCGUAA